CAAAUUAGUUUGUUUGAUGUUAUUAUAUAAUAGUAACACUGUUAUGUUUGAUGUUAUAAUAGUAACACUGUUCUUUUCAGAAUCUAGGAUGAGUUUGGACUUUUCCGUGAAGGAAGUCAUCAGUGUAAUACAGAAAAAUCUCAUACAUGCAAUAUCAUACCAGAAAAAUGGCUGCAUUUGGAAAAUGAAUAGCUGGAGAAAAUUCUAAUGAAUAAGCCCAAGGCCUCCAGAAAUGAGGAUGAAAAUAACCAGCAUAAGACAAUUUUGGAAGUCACUUCCUGGCCAGGAAAAGAAAUUCAAGCACGAGUAAGAUAACUUUGUCACUGAGUAGCUAAAGGAUGAAUGGCACAGUCUGGGAAACUUUAGAGUAUCCAGGAUUCCAGGAAGACCUGUUCCUUCCCAUGAUGCUUAAGGACCUGAUCCCUGCUCCAUUGGAGACAUGCUGUUGGAAUGUCGAAAAGCCUCUCCAUUUCCAAGACAGGAACAGAUUGUCAUUCUCCCAGAAGGUAACACAACCUCGAGCAGCUGAAAGGUUAUAGCUAUUCCAGAACAGAAUAUUCCACUCAAGUUUCUGCUUUAUCUGGGCCCUUGGCAGUCAGCCCAGACAUGAAAGAAAUGUCACUGUACUGGGCCAAAGCAAGGAACUCCGUCAAAAAGGAUUAUGGGAAAAAAUGAGCCAUUGGGGAGAGAUUGUGUACAGGACUUUUGGCUGAAUGAGAAACUAGGCCCAUUCUGAAAUGAGAGCAGCUGCCAUUCAACAGAAGCCCUCAGGCCUUCAUUUAUUUUAAUAGGAUUUUAGUGGAGGCUUGCCUUAGUCUUGGGUUGGUUUAUCAUUUAUGAUAAGCCAUCCUGCACCAUAAACUCAAACACAUCCCUUCAGAUUCAUUGACGUUUGGGGAGUGUGAUUUUAUCCUCCCUUCACUUAACAUACACUUUUUGAUGGCUUACAGUCUGACAGGCACUAUUCCAGAUUCUGAGCUUCAGCUUUGAAACCAGAAAGACAAGGACCUGUCUUCCACGGAGCUUCACAUGCUAGCGUGUGGCCUUGUUGGGGACGGGUGGUGGAGGAGUGGGAAAAGGAUGUAGAAAAUGAACAAAGAAAAAAGAUAUUAAUGAGGUAAUUUUUUAAGAGCUCAGAUUAUUCUUUUAUUUUUAUUUGUUUUUAUUUUCAUUUCGGAUUCGGAGGAUACCUAUGCAGGUUUCUUACAUGGAUAUACUGUGUAAUAGUGAGUUUGGGUUAGUGUUAUAAGGUAAUUUCUUACCUUUUUUUCUUCCACAAAGAAAAUACACAAAGAAGAUGCCACAGAUUGACUGGAAUAAGGAUGAGGGUUUUUUUUUUUUCCUUUCUUUUUCUUUUUCUUUUUUUAGAACUGGUGUUGCUGAGGAGAUGAUCACUGAACUUGGAUGUCGAUGAUCAAAGCCAACAGAUACGGGGUCAGGGGCUAUGAUGGAGGCUACACAAAAUGGAAUAUCUAAAAUGGAACUAAAACUUGGGAUUAAAAUAUGAACAAAAUACGAACUUACGAAAUAACAUAUAUGUAUAUCAGAGGAAGAUACGUUUUACCAAAAUAUCAUAUGUGUACAUUUUUCAGAUACAAUAAAUAUUGUUCCAUAGUUCACUUUUCUUAGCCUUUUUAGCUUAAAGAUGUCAUAAGGAGAGACUAGUCAAUAAAUUAGAAGUCCUAACAUCUGAGGUGACCUUGCUCCUGCCAGUGUAUGGCCUGCAAGACUAAACUCCCAGGGACUAGGGGAGAUACUCGUCACAUGAUUCCAAAUUUCAAUUAGGCAGGAGGAAUAAGUUCAAGAGAUCAAUCAGGUAUCCUGGUGACUAUUGUUAACAACAAUAUAUUACAUACUUAAAAACUGCUAUGAGAGUGUAUUUUAAGUGUUCUUACCA